rnacentral:tRNA from 1 species
GCUUCUGUAGUGUAGUUUGGUCAAAAGCAUGCGAGGUUCUCAUCCUCGUGACCCGGGUUCAAAUCCCGGCAGAAGCA